rnacentral:lncRNA from 1 species
ACCCCUGCAGGACCCACACCCUCUUAACAGGCCAGUCCCUGGAGACCUACAGGAAGUCUCUCCUCUCUUACAAAGUUUACAAACCCAGGACAGGGUGGGGAAUUAGAAAACCAGUUUGCAUGGAAGGUCCCUUGCCCCUGCUUUGCCCUCUGGGGCUGGGCCUGAUCGGAAAGUCUCAGUACAUCUGGUUGUACUUAAGUCAACUAGUAAUGUAGUGGAUUGUGCCUCCUGCUCAGCCUCCUCCCUUCUAACCCGGCCCUCUGCUCCCUCCUCCAGCCUCAGAGGGGAGGGGCUUAGCAAAGCCCAAGAGGUUGAACCCAACCCUACCAGAGCUGUGGUGCCAUGGUACUGUGGUUCUGAGGUGCUGUGGUGCCAUGGGACCGUGGGACUGUGGUGUCGUAGUGCCAAUGUGCUCCCUGGGCCACAACAGAGCCCUCCAGGCCCUGCAUACGUUGCUCACUUGGACCAGCUCUAGCCCCGCUCUCAUCUACAAUAGUACAACACCAAGAAAACAGCUGAUCCUGAAUCAGCUUCAAAGUACAACGACAAGAAAACAGCUGAUCCUGAGUCAACUUCAGCUGUCAGUCAUUUCCCAGAAGCCUUUGCAAAAUAUUGAAGGGUAACAGAGAAGAGCCUAAAUAGGUAGUGUGUGUCUGUAACCCCAGCUACUCCAGAGACAGAGGCAGGAGGAUUGCUUAAGUCCUAGAGCUUGAGACCAACCUGAGCAGCAUAGUGAGACCCUGUUGCAAAAAAAAUAAGAGAGAGGGUCUUGGGAAAAUAAAUAAAGAACAGAGUGGACUCACCAAGAUGGGCCUCAAAAGACUCCAGAUUCUAGUAGAGAGCACCUACGGGUCCGGCCAGAGAAGAGGAUGCAGCAAGAGGGGAAGAGGCAGACAGUACAAGAAGUCAGAUCUGUGCAUGACUAUAACCUCAAUACGGCAGAGGCAGAGGCAGAGGAGGCAGAGGCAGAGGAGGCAGAGGCAGAGGAGGCAGAGGCAGAGGAGGCAGAGGCAGAGGAGGCAGAGGCAGAGGAGGCAGAGGCAGAGGAGGCAGAGGCAGAGGAGGCAGAGGCAGAGGAGGCAGAGGCAGAGGCAGAGGCAGAGGCAGAGGCAGAGGCAGAGGCAGGAGGAUCACUACAAAUUCACGUCAGUCUUAUGUACAAACAUAAUCAGUCUACAAAGAGUGUCUCAAGGAAGCAGUAGAAGUGCAGCUAUGGUGUAAUGACCAAGACUUGGGGUGCAGUAAAGGUUGCAGUCCCCUUACCUGGUGCUGGUGUUCAAACAAAACGGUGUGUAGAAGCACUUUGGAAAGAGCUGAGUGGCCACCAUUAUCAGACUCAAAGUUCCCUAUCUGCUGCUCUGCUUAGCCUAGGUUGACUUGAAACUCACUCAGCAGUCCAGGCUAGCCUUCAUGCAUCAUGCAUCAACACACACACAUCCACACACACACACACACAGUUUGGUUGCACAAGUAAUUUUAAAAGUCUCAUAAAAAUCAGGAGAUGUUAAUAAACACAAAAGUUAAAAAUUAAAAUUCAAACACCUUUAAUCCCAUUACCCAAAAGUAAACUAUGGUCAUUUUUUGUAGCUGCCAAACAUGUGGGUGUGUAUGUGUGUGUCCAUGCUUGUGAACAUACAUAUGUGUAGAGAGACUGACUGUACACUUCUGCAACCAGCUUUUCUCAGUGACAAAUAGUUUGCACACCUUUUCACCUUUUCUUUCUUUCUUUCUUUCUUUCUUUUUUUUUUUGGUUUUUCGAGACAGGGUUUCUCUGUGUAGCCCUGGCUGGCCUCGAACUCAGAUAUCCGCCUGCCUCUGCCUCCCAAGUGCUGGGAUUAAAGGCAGGCGCCACCACCACCGGGCUACACCUUUCCUUAUCUAAUGCUGUUGAUGACAGCAUAGUGCGGCAGAUGACAUACACUUGCAAGAGUUAACUUUCCUUUGCUGUUGGUAAUUUUUUUUCUCAGAAACAACAUGUUUUUAAUGGAUUUUUUAAGCUAUAAAAACAUGUAUUAUGGACGUGUGUGCGUACACCUGAGUGCACGUGUCAGAGGACCCUUCCAGGAAGGGUCGACUCGGUCAGGCUUGGCCUCUAGUGUGGUUACCUGCUAAACCAUCUCACUGUCUCAGAAACAACAUCUUGAUGAGGAAAAAAUUUGUCGUCCACCUUUGGGGGAGACUGGGAAUAUGUCUUAGCUUGAGGAGUCACCUAGCCCAGGCCUCUGCCCUCUGCCCUCUGCCCUGCCAGUUCCUUCAGGCAGCCUCCCAGACUGGCCUUGGAAUGUGAGAUGUCCCUCAAGGCCUACGCCUCACAGAGACCAGGAGAACUGCCCAAGAGGACAGUGGCCCAGGCCUAGCCAGCAGGGAGUCAGAGCGCGAAGGUGUGUUGCAUGAAGGUGGUUUCAGGAACACACCUUCACUGAGCCCUGGGUCAAGUUGCACCAGUUCUCAAAACAGGAAGCAGGUUGCUCAGCGCUGGGAGUGAGGUCGCAGCUGAGCCAUCACCACCAACACGCAACAGGGGCAGCCCUGCCCCCUCAGAAGGCCACUGCUAACUAACUGACUGUACAAGCGCGAUGCAGAUUGCCACCUCAACCCGCUUUGGAAUCAGACCAAUCGCCCAAAUACUGGUCUUCUGGACCUGUGAACUUAAUACCCUGUUUCUGACAGACACUUCUCCACCUGCCUUCUCAUUGGCUGGCUAAAGGCUGUGUCUCCUGAUCACCUUUGACGGUGCCCAAAGUAGUUCCACCCCACUCCUCCUGCUCAGAGCAACAUUUACCUCCCCCACCUCGGGGCAGGGUGCUAACGGGCACCUGGUGGGCAUGGGAAAGGUCCUCUCUGCAGGUCUCUAGAUCCCCUUCUGUUUGCAGGAAAGCUGCCGUUGCUCUGCACACCCCCCCCCCCAAAAAAAAAGAGACAAAUAAAAGUUGAGGGCAAAUAAAAGUUGAAACAGAAAUAUUGUCAGGUCUCAUCUUAUUUUUGUUUGAGAAAUGCAGGCGUUUCCAAGGCAGCCAGGGCUGGAAAUACCUAGGAAUAUGGCCUCUUGCCUAACAUGAGAGAAUCCCCAAGCUCAACCAAGCUCAAUCGCCGAGACCUCCUCUUCCCUCACUUACACACACACACACACACACACACACACACACAGAGAGAGAGAGAGAGAGAGAGAGAGAGAGAGAGAGAGAGAGAGAAUAAUUCGGACAGUGGUCAGUGUGGCUGUGUAAAUACUUUUGAGCUGUUUGCCACCAACCUUAUGUGUCCCUCACACACGCCUAUCCUCCUUUUUUCCAUUUUCCUUCAAUCACCCAGUUUCUACAGGGCCCUGGCUUAAAACUACACCAAGUUCCAGCAACCCCUCCUUAGUGGCCUAGCCCAUAAAACAAACACGUGACCAGAAUUCAUCCCAUUAGGUGCCACUACUGAAGAAAAAAAAAAGCACAACUACUUUAUUUUUUAACAAAUAUAUUUUUAAAAGAUGUAUUUAUUUUAUAUGAGUACACUGUCACUGUCUUCAGACACCCCAGAAGAGGGCGUCAGAUCCUGUUACAGAUGGUUGUGAGCCUCCGUGUAGUUGCUGGGAAUUGAACUCAGGACCUCUGGAAGAGCAGUCAGUGCUCUGAACUGCUGAACCAUCUCCCCAGCCCUGCAUGACUACUUUAUAUUUAUUGGAAAGGAAAGCCAAUUAAACUGACUAGGAUUCCAUAUUGCUUAUUGAAAAGACUUUUAAAAAUAAAUGCAAACACCCAUUGCUGGACCCUGUGAGCUGCCUUGCCAGUGAGCCUUCUCUCCAGCCCAGCCCACUUCAGCUCCAUCCAUAAGUGCAUUUGAAAACAGGC